rnacentral:lncRNA from 1 species
AUCACUGGUGGAUAAUCAAAGGAUUUCAAACGACUCUUUAGACGUGCUGAUUAUCUCAACGUCUCUUUCACACCUCUAUAUAAAGGAAUGAAGACUUGAAGAUUUUAGAGAGAGAUACAUAAGUUUAAAAGCGCCAAAACUCUGUCAAUUUGAUUCUAAAAAGCACACUGAAUUUCUGCACUGAUUUGAUACAUCUUAGAAAUUCAAAGUCUAGAGUCUUUUCUGUAUUGUAUUGUGAACACCACUGAUUGUAUAUCAAG